rnacentral:rRNA from 1 species
AGAACGAACGCUGGCGGCAUGCCUAACACAUGCAAGUCGAACGCCUUUGGAGCUUCGGUUUCGGAGGAGUGGCGCACGGGUGAGUAGCGCGUGGGAACCUGUCCUGGAGUGGGGGAUAACCGAGGGAAACUUCGGCUAAUACCGCAUACGCCCGGGGAGACUCGGGGAAAGAUUUAUCGCUCCUGGAGGGGCCCGCGUCGGAUUAGGUAGUUGGCGGGGUAACGGCCCACCAAGCCUGUGAUCCGUAGCUGGUCUGAGAGGAUGAUCAGCCACACUGGGACUGAGACACGGCCCAGACUCCUACGGGAGGCAGCAGUGGGGAAUAUUGGACAAUGGGCGCAAGCCUGAUCCAGCAAUGCCGCGUGAGUGAUGAAGGCCUUCGGGUUGUAAAGCUCUUUCGCCCGCGACGAUGAUGACGGUAGCGGAGAAGAGCCCGGCUACUCGCGCCAGCAGCCGC